rnacentral:tRNA from 1 species
GUGGGUGUAACUCGGUGGUAGAGUGUCACCUUCCCAAGGUGAAGGUCGCGAGUUCGAAUCUUGUCUCACGCUCCA